rnacentral:rRNA from 1 species
GAUGAACGCUGGCGGCGUGCCUAAUACAUGCAAGUCGAGCGAACAGACGAGGAGCUUGCUCCUCUGACGUUAGCGGCGGACGGGUGAGUAACACGUGGAUAACCUACCUAUAAGACUGGGAUAACUUCGGGAAACCGGAGCUAAUACCGGAUAAUAUAUUGAACCGCAUGGUUCAAUAGUGAAAGACGGUUUUGCUGUCACUUAUAGAUGGAUCCGCGCCGCAUUAGCUAGUCGGUAAGGUAACGGCUUACCAAGGCAACGAUGCGUAGCCGACCUGAGAGGGUGAUCGCCCACACUGGAACUUAGACACGGUCCAGACUCCUACGGGAGGCAGCAGUAGGGAAUCUUCCGCAAUGGGCGAAAGCCUGACGGAGCAACGCCGCGUGAGUGAUGAAGGUCUUCGGAUCGUAAAACUCUGUUAUUAGGGAAGAACAAAUGUGUAAGUAACUAUGCACGUCUUGACGGUACCUAAUCAGAAAGCCACGGCUAACUACGUG